rnacentral:lncRNA from 1 species
AAGACUGGUUCCACAUUGGGAAAUAGAUCAGGAUUCGACUUAUGAAAUUAAUCUACUACAGUAAUGUACAAUGUAUCGCCACAAUAAAUCGCUAAAAAGGCAAAAAAAUUAAGAGAACUGAAUUUAUGCAGUAAAUCGAACAGCAAACAGACUGAAGAAAAUUUUCAACAUCCAUUUUGCAGCCCAUGUAAACAACAUUUUUCACAUUUCUCUCCACGUCACAGUUUUGCACUCGCUUCAGGAUUCUCUCAAAAGCACAAAAAUUUCAAUUUCAGCACCAAAACAUGAUGAACUUAAGAGAACUAUAUCACCCAAUAGUACCCAAUUCGCAUUGAGACUUAUUAAAUUUCAGUCAAAUUGAAGAUUUUCCACCAUGUUAAAGAAAUUAUUCAUACUAUUCAUUCAUCAAUUUGCAAUUCAGACCCAUUCCAAACACAUUAUAUUUCUCUUACAAGUCCAAUUCUUCCAAUUAUUUGGUAGUUGAUUUUUUAACCCAAGAAGAAAAAAACACCGCAAUUCAUUAGUAAACAGAAAAGAUUAAAAAAUAAUAUUAGUUGAACUACGCUAUACCAUAAACCGCACCGUGACUAAGCAACUCUACGCAUUAAACUAAUUAAUUAAACUGCAUUAUCGGUGAAACUAAGACUCCUUAAAGAGUAAAAACCAAGUAAAUUUUCCCUAACAAUCCAAGCUUGCCGAUCAAGAGCAAGAAAGCAUAGCUCUACUGUAAAACAAAAGAAAAAGAGAGAGAGAGAGAGAGAGAGAGAGAGAGAGAGAAAAAAGAGAGAGAACGAUUGAAAACACUUCAACUCCCUACAGCUUGAAGUAGUAGAAGAGUAGCGAAAGUACUCAACAUUUCCGAAGCAAAUUACCAAGCAAUGCUUACUCUAAAUCAAAAGAAUUUCAAACAAACAGUCCGUGUUUAAAUUAAAUUAACGAACCUCUACUGAUUCGAUCUGCGAAGAAGAUAAAAUGGGGGUGGUGGAGUCGUCGAGCUGUAAAGCAAAAAUAUAUAACAAACAAAACAAAAAACAAAAUAAUUUUAUGAGAUUGUAGAGAGAGAGAGAGAGAGAGGGGAGAGUGUGUGUGUGUCUGUCUGAGUAGAGAGAGAGUGCGGGUGUGGGGAAUAGAUGCCUGGAAAUUAAAAGAGGAACCAAUGAACAUAAGGUUUUCUUACACAUGUGAGUGAUAUCUCCCACACGUACCAACCGACGAUUCUUUCUAUACAAUUCUACGCUACCGUACUCUAUACUCUCCUCUACAGUACCUCCGGUUCUAAAUUACUGCCACGUCAUUGCCUCAUGUUUUUUCACUCGGGCAUUUAUGUGAAUUUCCUAAAAUGCCCUUGUCAAAAUCUACAAAUAUGUUAAACGCCAUUUUAUGGAAAAUAUCUGCUGGAAGCUACCCGUUUUGUGGUUUGAAAUGGACGGAUGGAUUACGCCAGAUGUGGGACCCACUCACCGAUGGAAUCAGCCAAGUCAGACUUUUAUUGACUCCGUACAAAAGACGCCAUAAUUAAAUGAUAU